AGGGUUCGAUUCUGGCUCAGGAUGAACGCUGGCGGCGUGCUUAACACAUGCAAGUCGAACGGGAUCCAUCAAGCUUGCUUGGUGGUGAGAGUGGCGAACGGGUGAGUAAUGCGUGACCGACCUGCCCCAUGCUCCGGAAUAGCUCCUGGAAACGGGUGGUAAUGCCGGAUGUUCCACAUGAUCGCAUGUGAUUGUGGGAAAGAUUCUAUCGGCGUGGGAUGGGGUCGCGUCCUAUCAGCUUGUUGGUGAGGUAACGGCUCACCAAGGCUUCGACGGGUAGCCGGCCUGAGAGGGCGACCGGCCACAUUGGGACUGAGAUACGGCCCAGACUCCUACGGGAGGCAGCAGUGGGGAAUAUUGCACAAUGGGCGCAAGCCUGAUGCAGCGACGCCGCGUGAGGGAUGGAGGCCUUCGGGUUGUAAACCUCUUUUGUUUGGGAGCAAGCCUUCGGGUGAGUGUACCUUUCGAAUAAGCGCCGGCUAACUACGUGCCAGCAGCCGCGGUAAUACGUAGGGCGCAAGCGUUAUCCGGAUUUAUUGGGCGUAAAGGGCUCGUAGGCGGCUCGUCGCGUCCGGUGUGAAAGUCCAUCGCUUAACGGUGGAUCUGCGCCGGGUACGGGCGGGCUGGAGUGCGGUAGGGGAGACUGGAAUUCCCGGUGUAACGGUGGAAUGUGUAGAUAUCGGGAAGAACACCGAUGGCGAAGGCAGGUCUCUGGGCCGUCACUGACGCUGAGGAGCGAAAGCGUGGGGAGCGAACAGGAUUAGAUACCCUGGUAGUCCACGCCGUAAACGGUGGACGCUGGAUGU
rnacentral:rRNA from 1 species